rnacentral:rRNA from 1 species
UGGGGAAUUUUGGACAAUGGGCGCAAGCCUGAUCCAGCCAUGCCGCGUGCGGGAAGAAGGCCUUCGGGUUGCAAACCGCUUUUGUCAGGGAAGAAAUCUUCUGAGUUAAUACCUCGGGAGGAUGACGGUACCUGAAGAAUAAGCACCGGCUAACUACGUGCCAGCAGCCGCGGUAAUACGUAGGGUGCAAGCGUUAAUCGGAAUUACUGGGCGUAAAGCGUGCGCAGGCGGUUUUGUAAGACAGAGGUGAAAUCCCCGGGCUCAACCUGGGAACUGCCUUUGUGACUGCAAGGCUUGAGUGCGGCAGAGGGGGGAUGGAAUUCCGCGUGUAGCAGUGAAAUGCGUAGAUAUGCGGAGGAACACCGAUGGCGAAGGCAAUCCCCUGGGCCUGCACUGACGCUCAUGCACGAAAGCGUGUGGAGCAAACAGGAUUAGAUACCCUGGUAGUCCACGCCCUAAACGGUGUCAACUGGUUGUUGGGGAAGGUUCCUUCUCAGUAACGUAGCUAACGCGUGAAGUUGACCGCCUGGGGAGUACGGCCGCAAGGUUG